CAAUAGCGUAUAUUAAAGUUGUUGCAGUUAAAAAGCUCGUAGUUGGAUUUCUGGUCGGAAGCUCCUGUCCUCUGAUGAGCGUACAAGUGCGUCCUACCAUCCUUCUGUUAACCUUUAAGGCUUUCGCGGCUUUCUAGGGGCUCAGAUAUUUUACCUUGAGAAAAUUAGAGUGUUUCAGGCAGGCUAGCGCCGGAAUACAUUAGCAUGGAAUAAUGGAAUAGGACUUUUGCCUCUUCUGUUGGUCAUGAGGCUCGAGUAAUGAUUAAUAGGGAUAGUUGGGGGCACUAGUACUUAACUGUCAGAGGUGAAAUUCUCGGAUUUGUUAAAGACUAACUUAUGCGAAAGCAUUUGCCAAGGAUGUUUUCAUUAA
rnacentral:rRNA from 1 species